rnacentral:rRNA from 1 species
GAUGAACGCUGGCGGCGUGCCUAAUACAUGCAAGUCGAGCGAAUGGAUUAAGAGCUUGCUCUUAUGAAGUUAGCGGCGGACGGGUGAGUAACACGUGGGUAACCUGCCCAUAAGACUGGGAUAACUCCGGGAAACCGGGGCUAAUACCGGAUAACAUUUUGAACCGCAUGGUUCGAAAUUGAAAGGCGGCUUCGGCUGUCACUUAUGGAUGGACCCGCGUCGCAUUAGCCGGUUGGUGAGGUAACGGCUCACCAAGGCAACGAUGCGUAGCCGACCUGAGAGGGUGAUCGGCCACACUGGGACUGAGACACGGCCCAGACUCCUACGGGAGGCAGCAGUAGGGAAUCUUCCGCAAUGGACGAAAGUCUGACGGAGCAACGCCGCGUGAGUGAUGAGGGCUUUCGGGUCGUAAAACUCUGUUGUUAGGGAAGAACAAGUGCUAGUUGAAUAAGCUGGCACCUUGACGGUACCUAACCAGAAAGCCACGGCUAACUACGUGCCAGCAGCCGCGGUAA